GGGACCAAGGGUAGCUGCAGUCUAUCUAUCUGCAGUCCAGUGACCUGGAGGGUCAGAGGCAGGAAGGAGAGAGAGCAACUCCAGAAAGAACCACACCAGCAAGGAAUAGCUCUGCUACUUUUCCAGAAAAUCACAUCAUCAGCAACUGACCAAGUUCCUACAGAGCCGGGGCAGAGAAUCAGAGAGAUGAUUGAUUCUCCAUGCCUGGCCUCUUUUGUUCCACGUAUGUUUGUGAAGUGUGUCCAUGACGCUGUACACAGCGAUAGCUCACUCAUUGCUGAUAAUGAAGCCCAGCAGCUUACCCAUUUCACUGCAGUAAACAACAUAUUGCUUCUUGUUUGUGUGUCCUGAAUCACGGAGACAUGCACUGUACACUUCCAUGAGUUUGGACAGUUGUCUACAUUUAUACAAACGACCACCUCUGGACUCACUGCUGUUCCAGCUUCUGCAAAUGCUAAGCUCAGCGUUUCCCCACACCAGGUCCGUGUGCUAAAGGUUUUAUUACAGUAUUUCCUAUGCAUGGUUGCAUGCAGUGGACAAUCUUGUCUGCCUGGUUUCAGUGCCUUUCAGACUUGUCCAAACUCUUGCAAGAAUCGAUUGAAUGUACUUAUUGCUGAAUAGAAUUCUAGUAAAAAGUGUUUCUCCAUUCACGA
ensembl:lincRNA Gm10419 predicted gene 10419